rnacentral:rRNA from 1 species
GACGAACGCUGGCGGCGUGCUUAACACAUGCAAGUCGAGCGGUAAGGCCCUUUCGGGGGUACGACGAGCGGCGAACGGGUGAGUAGCACGUGGGUGACCUGCCCUCAGCUCUGGGAUAAGCCUGGGAAACCGGGUCUAAUACUGGAUAUGACUCCAUGACGCAUGUUGUGGGGUGGAAAGCCUUGUGCGGCUGAGGAUGGGCCCGCGGCCUAUCAGCUUGUUGGUGGGGGAUGGCCUACCAAGGCGACGACGGGUAGCCGGCCUGAGAGGGCGACCGGCCACACUGAGACUGAGACACGGCCCAGACUCCUACGGGAGGCAGCAGUGGGGAAUCUUGCGCAAUGGGCGAAAGCCUGACGCAGCGACGCCGCGUGA